rnacentral:rRNA from 1 species
UACGAAGGGAGCUAGCGUUACUCGGAAUUAUUGGGCGUAAAGCGUGCGUAGGCGGCUUUGUCAGUCAGAAGUGAAAGCCUGGGGCUCAACCUCAGAAUUGCUUUUGAUACUGCAAGGCUUGAGUAUCAUAGGGGAUAGCGGAAUUCUUAGUGUAGAGGUGAAAUUCGUAGAUAUUAAGAGGAACACCGGUGGCGAAGGCGGCUAUCUGGGUGAAUACUGACGCUGUUGCACGAAAGCGUGGGGAGCAAACAGG